rnacentral:rRNA from 1 species
UACGGAGGAUCCGAGCGUUAUCCGGAUUUAUUGGGUUUAAAGGGUGCGUAGGCGGCUUUUUAAGUCAGCGGUGAAAUUUUGCAGCUUAACUGUAACAGUGCCGUUGAUACUGGGGAGCUAGGAUUUGGUUGCUGUGGGGUGGAAUGUGUGGUGUAGCGGUGAAAUGCUUAGAGAUCACACAGAAUAUCGAUUGCGAAGGCAGCUCACAAAGCCAAGAUUGACGCUGAGGCACGAAAGUGUGGGGAUCAAACAGGAUUAGA